GAUGAAGAACGUAGCGAAAUGCGAUAAGUAAUGUGAAUUGCAGAAUUCAGUGAAUCAUCGAAUCUUUGAACGCACAUUGCGCCCGCCAGUAUUCUGGCGGGCAUGCCUGUUCGAGCGUCAUUUCAACCAUCAAGCCCCCGGCUUGUGUUGGGGACCUGCGGCUGCCGCAGGCCCUGAAAACCAGUGGCGGGCUCGCUGUCACACCGAGCGUAGUAGAUUUUCAUCUCGCUCAGGGCGUGCUACGGGUUCCGGCCGUAAAAAGCCUUAUUUACCCAAGGUUGACCUCGGAUCAGGUAGGAAGACCCGCUGAACUUAAGCAUAUCAAUAAGCGGAGGA
rnacentral:misc_RNA from 1 species